rnacentral:lncRNA from 1 species
UGUGUUGUCAGCAGGCACUUCUCUAUCUGUGCAGACUCUGCCCAUGCGCCACCUCUGGGGGUGAUGCUCGUGCCCUGGGGGACGAGCUUUGGCCUCCACUGACAUCCCUGGUACCCCGCCCGCAGUACCAGUGAGAGGUGAAGUCUUGUUGCCAUGAGGUCUCUGGAUAGACACAGCCUUCAGCAUCUCUCCCCCACCAGUCGUGAGGACCAGGGUCUGCACUUUGGGUGGACCUCUGGGACCCAGGCCUCUCCGGAACCCCAGGCAGGGCAGCCAGUGAUGGUCCACAGCCCACUGUUCCUGUGGGUUUCCUGGUUGACCGUUGUUGCUUUUUGCACUUAUUUCAAUUUUAGGUUGUUGCUCCCCCUAAGGAGAUGUGGCAUAAGUGGCAGAAGGAGGUUUUGCAGCUGGCCCUGGCAAAUCAGACCCCAGCAGGUGCACCGGAUCCUGGGACGGGAGCAUCUGGUGUGACCAUGCAACAGGAACCCCCGAGCUGUGCAACUGUGGGCGUGGAUGAGGGUGAGGUCCUGUCAGGAGUGGCCGAGGUGCUGGCUGGGCCACCGGCCCUUCCUGAGUCUCCCAGCCUGGUGCCCUGGCCCCCGGGCCCAAGUCCCUCCAAGGUCCUGAGGCCACCACCACUCUGGCCUCAAGGGGAUGAGGCUCAGACCUGCCUGGGGCAGGCUGAGGGGGCUGACAUGGCCAUGACACUGGAUGCCAGGUGGGUGCCCUGGUGGACGUGUGCAUAAGCUGUCACACACCUCUUUCCAGCCCUGCCUGGGCCCACCCGCCUGGGAGGUUUCUGUCCCUUACACCCUCGGAGUGUGUGUGUGGAUGCCCGAAGCCGCCAGCCCGGGCCCGGAUCAGCCAGACUCUGCCGUGUGGCUUCCUGAUGUGUGUUUCUGAAAACACUUUUGUCUUCCUAAUUGUCCUCUGUUUUGGCUGAUAGUAAAUGAGUUUGUGUUUUGUGAGCCGCACCAGCUGGGGCGUGGGCAGGGAGCGUGGUGCUGGCUGGAGAGGACCCAGCAGAGCCGCAGCACGUGGCCGUCUGCGCUGGGCUGGCUCACCGGAGGCUCUGCACUCCCUCCAGAUCCAGUGAUCCAGCUGGCGGGUGAGGGGCAGGGCCAGAGGGGGCACCCUUCUGUCUCUGAUCCCAAAGCUGCGUUUCAGGGCCCACGUGUUUCUCUUGAGGUACGGGGACCAGCGUCCACUUGGGGCCACUCAGGGUGGGGUCUUCUUCCCCGUCCAGGUCUGUGUCGAGAUGUGACGUGGAAGACCGGACGUCCUUCCUGCUGACUGCCAGUCCCGACUGGUGGCUGGGUGAGUGGGAGACGCUCGGCGCAGGCCACCUUCUCCCCUGCUCGGGGGCAGGCUUUGGGGUCUCAGCUGAUCCCCAUGUGGGCUGGGCGGGCAUUUGGGAUUGUUGCCUGGGCCCAGCUUGCUGUGUGACACCAGGGUCUCAGUGUCUGUCUCUGAGCUCCCGGUUCCUCCUCUGCUGGUGGUUGUCGGGACCCCUGGUGAGGGGAACAAAAGGUGAUGUGUGCACAUGAGCAAGAGUUUGUGAGUGCGUGGUGUGGGGGAUGGUGUGUGUCGUGUGUGUCAGAGUCAGUGCCGUUUCUCUCAGCUGUGUCUCCACAAAGGCAGCAGGAUGUGUGAUGAGUUGAGUGUCUCUAGGAUUUAGUUUGGGGGGGACACGCCUUCCUGGUUCUGGCCCAGUGGGUCUCCUGGGUGUCCAGCAGGGCUGGUGGG